rnacentral:rRNA from 1 species
GACGAACGCUGGCGGCGUGCUUAACACAUGCAAGUCGAACGGAAAGGCCCUGCUUGCAUGGUACUCGAGUGGCGAACGGGUGAGUAACACGUGGGUGAUCUGCCCUGCACUUCGGGAUAAGCCUGGGAAACUGGGUCUAAUACCGGAUAGGAGCCAUUUUUAGUGUGAUGGUUGGAAAGUUUUUUCGGUGUAGGAUGAGCUCGCGGCCUAUCAGCUUGUUGGUGGGGUAAUGGCCUACCAAGGCGGCGACGGGUAGCCGGCCUGAGAGGGUGGACGGCCACAUUGGGACUGAGAUACGGCCCAGACUCCUACGGGAGGCAGCAGUGGGGAAUAUUGCACAAUGGGCGCAAGCCUGAUGCAGCGACGCCGCGUGGGGGAUGACGGCCUUCGGGUUGUAAACUCCUUUCGCUAGGGACGAAGCUUUUUGUGACGGUACCUAGAUAAGAAGCACCGGCUAACUACGUG